GACGAACGCUGGCGGCGUGCCUAAUACAUGCAAGUAGAACGCUGAAGCUUGGUGCUUGCACCGAGCGGAUGAGUUGCGAACGGGUGAGUAACGCGUAGGUAACCUGCCUGGUAGCGGGGGAUAACUAUUGGAAACGAUAGCUAAUACCGCAUAAGAGUAGAUGUUGCAUGACAUUUGCUUAAAAGGUGCAAUUGCAUCACUACCAGAUGGACCUGCGUUGUAUUAGCUAGUUGGUGAGGUAACGGCUCACCAAGGCAACGAUACAUAGCCGACCUGAGAGGGUGAUCGGCCACACUGGGAAUGGGACACGGCCCAGACUCCUACGGGAGGCAGCAGUAGGGAAUCUUCGGCAAUGGACGGAAGUCUGACCGAGCAACGCCGCGUGAGUGAAGAAGGGUUUCGGAUCGUAAAGCUCUGUUGUAAGAGAAGAACGAGUGUGAGAGUGGAAAGUUCACACUGUGACGGUAUCUGACCAGAAAGGGACGGCUAACUACGUG
rnacentral:rRNA from 1 species